CUAUCACUCAAACUGCAAACGGCGACCACAGAGCUGGUGAUGAAUGACAGAGAGCUCUCAGCUGGAGGAGGAUCGCUAAUGGAAUUGUACUGCAUCAACCCCGAGAUUCACGGGGAGAACACACUAGAUUGCCCUUCACUUGAGAAUGACCUUGAGAUCCUUCAGCCUAUCUGUUCAGUGACAAUGAAGGAUCCUCUGGGAACCCCCCUUCCUCUCUCUUACUACUAUA